UACGGGGGGGGCAAGCGUUGUUCGGAAUUACUGGGCGGAAAGGGCUCGUAGGCGGCCAACUAAGUCAGACGUGAAAUCCCUCGGCUUAACCGGGGAACUGCGUCUGAUACUGGAUGGCUUGAGUCCGGGAGAGGGAUGCGGAAUUCCAGGUGUAGCGGUGAAAUGCGUAGAUAUCUGGAGGAACACCGGUGGCGAAGGCGGCAUCCUGGACCGGCACUGACGCUGAUGAGCGACAGCCAGGGGAGCAAACGGG
rnacentral:rRNA from 1 species